AACAUGCACUACAAAAAAUAUUGGUAAAAAUGGCACUAAUUUUAUGGAGGGUCAAAAAAACUGCCGUUAUAUUUGUUAAUUACAGCAGCGCCAACUCAUGCCAUAAUGCUAAUGGUUUUUGUGGCAGCUUUGUUGAUUGUGGCGUUUCAAACCGCCAUAGAAUUUUUUUUCCCUUUUUUAACUCGAGCAAUGUUGCAUAUGAGAGUGUAAUUAGUAUUGUUGCAUAUGAGAAAAUGAGGAUGAGUGUCAAUGACGAACCCUAAUUUCUUGCCAUUGUUCAUCUUCCUUAUUUGUCAUUCAACUCCUCACUAUCACUCAUCACUUUGUUGCAACUCAUCUCCUCGCUGCUGCAAGCAACGCCGUUGUUGCUGCCUUCAGUGAGCUUCUACGAUUUGGCUUUGAUCUGAAGAUUUUUCAGCGUUCGUCUCAUCACCAUCGUUCAUCUCCUCGCCAUUGCAAGAAACACCGUUGUCCUCUUCAGCAAGCUUCAAUGAUUUGGCUUCGAUAUGAAGAUUUGUCGCCGCUCAUCUCAUUGCCAUCAUUCAUCUCUGCACCAUCGCAAGCAACACCGUUGUCGCUGCCUUCUAUGAUCUGAUUUUCAAUCUGGCUCACCUCCUCACCUCCGCAAGCAACGCCGUUGUUGCUGCCUUGAGCAAGCUUCUACAAUUUGGUUUCACCAUCUCUGUCACUUCUAAUAGAUAAUCUACUUAAUCUUCUUCUUUGAUUUUUUCCUUCCUCUUCAUCCUUUUAGAUCUAGUUCAUACUCUAGUAGGAAGAAACAAAGAAUGCUGGUUCUUUUUGUGUAUUUUAAUUUUCAUUGAUCUUUUGUGAUGUUGUUGUUGUUAGCUUGUUAUUGCUGUAUUUUCUGUUCUGUUGUUAUUUUUUUGCUUCUGAUUUUAUUUAGUUUGAGACCUAAUCUAUUCUAUUAAACUGAAUGAUCUCAUAAUCUACAUCAUUUGUCCGAAAUUAGUACAACACAACACUUUACUUUCUCUUCAAAACAAGUCACGGCAUUGUGGAGGAACUGAUUGGGUUUGGAGCAAGAGUGCACGCGUGUGCAAGGAACGAAGCUGAGCUCACUAAGUCUCUCAUCUAAUGAAAUGAUUCUGGUUUUGAGGUUACUGAAUCUGUUUGCAAUGUCUUUGUUCCUCAUCAGAGGGAGAAGCUGAUGGACUCUGUGUGUUUUGAAUUCCAAGGGAAACUCAACAUCCUUGUAAGCUCUCUUCUUUCUCUGCAUUUCAUCUGUUUGAUAUUAUUCCCCAACUAACACUAUUUUGCAUAAUUCGAGUCUAUAAAUUUUCAAACAAUAAUAGGAGAAAAAACUUUAAUAUUCUUAUAGUUGAAAUCUUCAAGCUGCACUAUAAUUUGAAGGUGCAGGAGGAUGACUUUACAAUUCUUCAAGAUCCCUCUUAAGUCUUUACACUUCCACUGCUUCCUGCUCUUACUCUUCUGAUUAUGACAACAUUUUUGUAUAUUAAGCUUUCAUUAUAAUGUGUAAAAAAUUAAUCAUGAUUUGCAUUUUUGAUGGUUGAAUGAUAUGUUUAAUUGGGAAUUUCACAAGUUUGAGGUUUUAGAAGAGAUGAGGGAGCUAUGAUUAAAGGCAAGGCGUUUCUGUUUUGAAAAUAACUCUACUGAAUUUGGCUUUUCUAUUAAGAAUAUUAUUUACUAGUGAGAAUAUUAUUUACUAUUCAUAGCAACAUCUUUCCUAGCUUGUUCAAAGUUCAAAGUCCAUGAAUUUAUUUUAUUCUUGUUGAACUGGGACUGUACAUUAUUUAUAAGUAGUAUAAGCGGUAUUUAGUUUCAAUUCUUCAUAAUAUAUCUUGAGAACCUCUUUUUGAGUAAUUUCAUAAGUGGUUUUAGAAGCUAUUAUAUAUAUUUUGAUGCAGCUCAUGUGUAUGUACAGUGAUUGUGUUUUUUUUUUCAGUGAAAUUAAAGCUUGUUCACUACUUUAAUUAUUCUCUACUUUUGGCCAUGAGAAGCUCAUGGUUCUUUGUAGUCAGCUCAGCGUUGUAACUUGGAUUGAUUACUAUUAAUCCAAAGAUAUUUGAUCAAAUUAGAUUAGAUUUGAUCUGGUUCAAUGAAGUUUGUAGGUGUAGGUGUUGGACCAUACCUUCUACAAGUGUGGAAGAGUAAGAGUGUGUCAACAAAAAUAAGAACCCAACUUAACUACUUUUUUAAGAGUGACCAAUGUUGUCAAUAGAUGACUUGAAAUAAGACUAUUAUAGUUUUCCAAAACUAAAUUGAUUUUGAGCAGUUUCAACUUUCAGCUUGAGUUGGAUGUUCCUUAAAAUUGGCAUGUAAGUUGAUAGAUAAUAGAUUGUAGAAAAAGAAAAGAAAAAGAAUGUUGCUGCCAUCCACAGCAGCCUUCACCGUUCUUCAUCAUGCCCACUUAUCUUGGAUUAUGUUUUCCUAAACUCACAGUAAUAUUUGGUUUUUUAUAAUCUUGAUUCAAUUAAUAACGUGUAUCUAAAUUGGUGUUGCUCCAAAGCACAAGACUCCGAUUAGUGUUUGUUUUCUCUGCAUCACUGCCUUUCAAAUCCAAACUCUGACUCUUUUAUGUAAUAUAAUAUAAUAUAAAAUCUUCUGAUGCGGCAGAGUUGGUCGCAUAACAGGGUGACUUGGUCAUACAUACCCCUCUCUUCAUCGAGGUUACAACUUCACUAAAGCAGGUUUCUUUAUUUCUAUCUUAUUUUAUUAUUCUUAGCUUUGGAAUUUGCUUUUGAAGUUUGUUGUGGCCUUAAUUAGGUCUAUUAAUUAAGUGAAGUUUGGAUGAGAAAUUGGUUCAAAAAUCUGUCAUUCUGUCUCUAAUGUUUUUUAAUAGAUUUGAUUUUGCCGAUGAUGUCUUAAUUAAUUGGGUUCCUUUCUUUUAUCUUCUUUUUUAAUGAUUAUUUCAGAGGAGAAGAUCUUGGAAAUCUUAGGUACGGUUUGUUGAGGAUAUUUUUGAAGCACUACUUGUCUUGUCUGCAGAUGCAUGCUGCUCUAUAUAAAUAGUAUUCUAAUACCAUAAUCAACUUCAAAUUAUCACACCAAACUCUUGACUUCACUAUUGCUUCUGCCUAUCAGAAAAUCUUGGCCCCCUUUUUUUCUGUUUCUUAUGUCCUAUGUUACUUACCAUAAUCAACUUCAAAUUAUCACACCAAACUCUAAUUUUGUCAUCUAUCUGAGAAUUUCGGGCAACCCAAACUAACGUUUGAAGUGAAAAAGACAAGAAACUGAGGACUCUGAGUGCCACAGUGAAGUUAAUGUUCUAGAAUUGCACUUCCAUACAAGUUAAUGUUUGCAUUCUACUAAUUUGACAUUUUUCCCUGAAAAUUGGUUGUAAAGUUUUCUUAGCUCGUUGAUCUAUGGCCACCGAAUGAGAACACUAUAAUAUUUCAUUAAGUUGUUUUGUGCCCAUCUCUUUAGCAGAUAUAAUUGACAUGAUUUGUGUAUUUUUUUAUAUUCUCAUUUUGUGCCUAUGUUACUGAUUUUGGCAUUGUUUAUUAAUCAUUAAUAUUUCAUUUGUGCUCCUAUAAUUGGUUCAUAAUCACUUUGUCUUAUGCCUUGCAGUUCUAAUACUUUCUCAAUGACCCUUUGAAUUAUAAUCUUAAAUAUUACGUUAGUGCACAGCCAUUCCUUGUGCUUGAUCUUCUAGAAGCAUAUUCUAGAGGGUUCCCUUGUUUAUACUUCCAAACCUUGAGCCAUAUUUGCUUCUCCUUGAGCCAGAAAUGCAACCAGAGAAACAGAGAAAUGAAACAAAGAGGCAGGAAGCAUAGCAUGUAUAUGGGCCUUGUUGUGUGCUGUUGGACAAUGUAUGCAUGAAAGGGCCAAAAUCUUCACCAAUUUGCUCUCUCCUCCAACACGUGCUUCUUUUAGACCCAAUGAAAAAGCCAUGAUUGCUAUGUCAACCGGCUUGAUAGAAAUUUUCUGACAGGAGAGGUUGCUAAAAUUUUUUGUAAGAGAUGAGUUUGGAUAAUGAAAAUGGAGUGUUGGAGCAAGAAACAAAGAUGUUGGAGCAAGUUACCGAGAUGAAACUCACACAAGAGACCAAGAAACUAAGACAGGCUUGUUUUAAAGUUAAUUACAAAAGGAGAAAAUUUUUGGCCUCCAAAUCUUAUUCAUUAUCACUUAGCUAAGCUACUUGUCUUGUAUAUUCAUAUUCUAAGUAGUAAAAACAGCACUUAUUAGAUGGUUUAAAUACAUUAUUAGAUAUUAACAUAGUUUAGGAAACUGGAUGGUAGAUUUGACUGAUUAGUGUUUAUUGCAAUGCUUGUAUUUUGGUAAGUUUAGUAAGACAAGGUUUUGUAUAGGAGU